rnacentral:rRNA from 1 species
CUUUCUUUCACCGAAUGCUUGCAUUCACCGAAAGAAGCUUAGUGGCGAACGGGUGAGUAACACGUAGGCAACCUGCCCAAAAGAGGGGGAUAACACUUGGAAACAGGUGCUAAUACCGCAUAACCAUGAACACCGCAUGAUGUUCAUGUAAAAGACGGCUUUUGCUGUCACUUUUGGAUGGGCCUGCGGCGUAUUAACUUGUUGGUGGGGUAACGGCCUACCAAGGUGAUGAUACGUAGCCGAACUGAGAGGUUGAUCGGCCACAUUGGGACUGAGACACGGCCCAAACUCCUACGGGAGGCAGCAGUAGGGAAUCUUCCACAAUGGACGAAAGUCUGAUGGAGCAACGCCGCGUGAAUGAAGAAGGCCUUCGGGUCGUAAAAUUCUGUUGUCAGAGAAGAACGUGCGUGAGAGUAACUGUUCACGUAUUGACGGUAUCUGACCAGAAAGCCACGGCUAACUACGUGCCAGCAGCCGCGGUAAUACGUAGGUGGCAAGCGUUGUCCGGAUUUAUUGGGCGUAAAGGGAACGCAGGCGGUCUUUUAAGUCUGAUGUGAAAGCCUUCGGCUUAACCGAAGUAGUGCAUUGGAAACUGGAAGACUUGAGUGCAGAAGAGGAGAGUGGAACUCCAUGUGUAGCGGUGAAAUGCGUAGAUAUAUGGAAGAACACCAGUGGCGAAAGCGGCUCUCUGGUCUGUAACUGACGCUGAGGUUCGAAAGCGUGGGUAGCAAACAGGAUUAGAUACCCUGGUAGUCCACGCCGUAAACGAUGAGUGCUAAGUGUUGGAGGGUUUCCGCCCUUCAGUGCUGCAGCUAACGCAUUAAGCACUCCGCCUGGGG